GGCGAACGCUGGCGGCAGGCUUAACACAUGCAAGUCGAGCGCCCCGCAAGGGGAGCGGCAGACGGGAGAGUAACACGUGGGAACGUACCCUUUAGUCGGAACAACCCAGGGAAACUUGGGCUAAUACCGGAUACGUCCGUAAGGAGAAAGAUUUAUCGCUAAAGGAUCGGCCCGCGUCUGAUUAGCUAGUUGGUGAGGUAACGGCUCACCAAGGCGACGAUCAGUAGCUGGUCUGAGAGGAUGAUCAGCCUCACUGGGACUGAGACACGGCCCAGACUCCUACGGGAGGCAGCAGUGGGGAAUAUUGGACAAUGGGCGCAAGCCUGAUCCAGCCAUGCCGCGUGGGUGGUGAAGGCCCUGGGGUUGUAAAGCCCUUUCGGCGGGGAAGAUAAUGACGGUACCCGCAGAAGAAGCCCCGGCUAACUUCGUGCCAGCAGCCGCCGCCG
rnacentral:rRNA from 1 species